AUUCCAGCUCCAAUAGCGUAUAUUAAAGUUGUUGCAGUUAAAAAGCUCGUAGUUGGAUUUCUGGUGGGGACGUUUGGCCGGCCGUAACGGUUUGCGCUGAAAUGUUCUUCGCCAUCCUUGACGAAUACUGGUUCGCCAUUAAGUUGUGUGGGCUUGGAGUCGUCAUCGUUUACUGUGAAAAAAUUAGAGUGUUCAAAGCAGGCUUAUGCCGUUGAAUACAUUAGCAUGGAAUAAUAAGAUAGGACCCUGGUACUAUUUUGUUGGUUUGCGUACCUAGGUAAUGAUUAAUAGGGACAGUUGGGGGCAUUCAUAUUCCAUUGUCAGAGGUGAAAUUCUUGGAUUAACGGAAGAUGAACUCCUGCGAAAGCAUCUGCCAAGGAUGUUUUCAUUA
rnacentral:rRNA from 1 species